UACUGGUGGCUUCUUUUUCUUCUGACUCGUCUGUUACCUUUUCCUGCGUCGCUUUGACCCGUCGCCCACCUGUCUCGUCAUCCCUCUCGCCGUCCUCUCUGAGGCAUAGCCCUCUUCGUCCGCCCCAGGCCCAGGCGAUGGGGGCGCCGCCCUGGUUGCGAGGAAGCCGCUGGAGGAAGAUCUCAACUAGACAUUAUCGACCGGAAGGAAGGAGAAGGAUUCGAUCUGCAGAAGAGAGAUAGAAGAUGAGAGGGGGAGAGGGAAGGAAGGAGAAGGAUUCUAUCUACAAGAGAGAGAGAGAAGAUGAGAGGGAAAGAAAGAUGGAAGGAGAGGAGGGAGAAAGAGAGAGGAAAGAUGGGAGGGAGGCGCGACAGCGGACGUGAGAGGGUCAACGGUCGGCGUUGGCCUGCCCCGGCGAGGUAGGGCGCGACCUGAAGGUUGGUGGUGGCUCGAUCCGCUCCUGAAUCAGGACCUACGAGGAGGGUGGGGCUCGGGCGCGAGGCACGGCAGGCUGCGCUCCACCUCUUCCUUGAGGAGCAUGUGCAGUGGGCGGAUGGCAGCUCGCGCGGUGGUGCCGGGGCCUCAACAGGUGCACAAUGGGGACUCCAUGCAUCUCCUGCGCACCGCAACCCUCCCCUUCCCGGCACAGCAGAAACAAGGAUGCCGAAGCGGUUCAGUGCAUUUCUUUUCUUUCCAUCUGCAGUUGCGACGAAGAGUAGGAAGAUCGGGCGGAUAGGGUUUCACAUACCUCUUCUACACUUACAAGUCUUCCUUUCCAGGAUUGCCAUGGUGAGCUGUUGUUGUAGACUGUAGUGCUUUAUAAAUUUUUUUGUCCCUUUGCUAAACUUUGUUCUCUUAUUCCGAUGCUAUGAUUUGUGAUGGCUAGAUGAGAUUUGUGGUGAAAAGUUUCCUUUCUUUUGUUUACCUACAGAUCUUGAAUGCACGAUUGAUGAUUUUGUUUGAUAGGUUAGAAAUCUAAAUAGUAAACAUUUUAGCUUACUUACAAUGUUGUUUGAUCAAUUGCUUUGCGGCAGGCUCACUGAUGGAGUAUGCCUAAUCUUGGACUCAAUUUAUUGCCUGGUGUUGGUGUGUUUCUUUUAUUCUAUUUAGGAGGGUUCUAAGCUAUUAAGGGAAACAUACAAUUUAUCAGUUUGAGGCCUGCUUCAGUCUGUGUGCUGCUGCAGGGGGCUUUGGGGAUGGUGGCCUUGAUAUUCCGCACAGUGACAAGAGAUUUGUUGGCUUCAAGAAGGAUGAGAAGCAGCUGGACACUGAGAUUCACCGCAACUACAUUUAUGAAGAUCAUGUUGCAGACUACAUGAAGGUUACUGAAUCUUAUUUUAACUUCUGCCCUACCGUUAUUUCAGUCAAUAGCUGAUGCGGUACCUGAGAAGUAACAAUUUCACUUUAGUGAGUACAUCAAGAAGGGGAUUGCGGCUGAUGACAUGGAAGAACUGCACAAGAAGGUAAAUGCUACCAUUCGUGCUGAUCCUACCAUGGCAAAAUCAACCAAGGAACCUCUGAAGACGCACAAGAGGUAUAAUCUCAAGAAGCGUUGAGGUAGGUGACACAGCUUGCCAUGCAUGUGAUGUUGCAGCUCAAAAUUAAGAUGUUGUCAAUCCAAUAAGAGAAGCCAAGGAGCUAUUGGCGAUCGUGUGGUGCGUACUGGAUCAUGAAGUUUAUCAGUAUGUGGUAAUGGGGGUAUCAAUGUUUUCUCAUACUCAUGUAGUUCAUUCACUCCUAAACUGUAUGUUCUUCUUUUGUUAAAACCUUGGAAGUAUUAAGAUGUUAGGCUAAAUAAAUUCCUUCAUAAUGAAUAAUAGAAAAGUUUUGCUAUGCAAUAAGAUACAGUUGCAUGCAAAAAAUAAUCUUGUCUUAUAUAGUUAUAUAUCAAAACUAUGGAUUUGGUAUGCACUUCUUGUGAUCAUUAGUGUUCACUGAUUUCCUUCGGAUUUUCUUGGAUACCUGCGACAUCGUGGUGUCGGACGCGACGGACGCUGCCAGGUCCGCGCCCACAUCGUGCUCAGGGAGCCUGACCUCUUUAGUCGUGUUCUCCAUCUUGCAGCACAUGAUGAACUACACUGUAGAGUUCAGCUGUGUUUCCCCUGUUUUCUUCUACUACAAGAGUUCUAAUGAUAUGUACUAUUUGGCUGCAAAUUUAUGUUGUUUGCAUCACCAUAUGGAUAGUCGUAACAAAUGAAGAGAUUUCAGAGAGUUUCACAAUCUGACUCGAGUCACAGGCUAUAGGUUAACUUUAAUUGAAUGGUAGUAUGGGAGUAAUAAUUUCUGAAAUCUAGAAAUGAUCUUGUUGCUCAUAUAGAUCUUUCUGGUAAUCUGAUCUACCUUUGCUGUAUUAGUGGUGUUGGGUUAAAAAUCAACAGUGGUGUUUAAAAAAGCUAAAGGUGACUGUUGUAGUUACUGGGAUCCUCCAAGUGGAUCAUUAUAAUGAUGAGAAAACAUACCCAAAAAAACAUAAAAUGGAUUAAAAGGAAACCCACUUUCUAGGAUUGUGGGCUGAAGACAGAAUGGAUGCAGGCUUUGUCUCGAAGAGAUUAUCUGACAAGAAUGAAUUAGUCAUCAACAGUUGAGGCGCAGCGUACCAUCUUACUUGCUCCACCUCCGGACUAUGUUAUUCUCUUCUUUUUCUCCUUCGUUGUUGUGUCGCUUGACUGCAUCUUUAUUAGUUCAAACUCAUGCUUGUUUUAGCUAGGAUGAAUUUAGGAAUGGUUGCCUUUUCAUGGUACAGUUGAGCUGAUGUUGAGUAUGUGUUUGUGUGUAACGGUUCAUUUCCUCCUUUUCUUUCUGCAACAUUUCGUGAACUUGCUUAUAAAAAGAUUCAUCACAUAGGCGUUUAGCUUGAUUGUUCCGCGUACCAUGAGAACCAGCAUGACUUUGGAUAUAUGUUUCUGCAGGUUUCAGAAUGUAUCCAAGAUUGCAGGGAAGUUAAUUACACCAUAUGUGGAAGAUGGGCUGUGGAAGAUGGACAUAGCCCCUCAGGUAAUUUCACUUUGUCCUGGAUUAAUAACAGAUUACUAAUUUGUUUGUUUAAAUAGGGCAGGUUAUUUACGGAAGUAUUUUCUAUGCCGAACUGGUUAGCAUUAAUUCUAGACCAUUUACUAUUGACUCGAUAAUUUACAUGUUGGCAAGGACUUAUUCCUGCAACCUGGUCAUAAUUGCUCGGCCAAUUUCCCAACCCAAAUCCAGAACCGCUUCAUCUUUAGAUCUUUACGUGCUUGAUGAAAUGCCUUAGUGAUUAAGCUCUGCGCUUUGUCUUUCUUUGUUCUCCUGCUCACGGAUUAACCGAUGACUGCAAGGCCGAGAGAAGCAUUAGGAACUGGUCCGCAGCGUCUUACAGUGUAUGCGUACACACAAUUCACUGCACUAACACUUAUUGAAUUGUUCAUCUUCUUUCUCCUCUGUUUGUCACGAAGAUUCUUCUAUGACCACCUCUUUGAGGAGAUCAACUAAUCUCCGUGUCGCAGUUUUUGUUGAAACAUUGAUUAGGUGCUCCAAGAAUGUAUGUGAGCUUGACAUUGUAUUUAACUGCAUCAAGGUACAAUGAUUCUCUUGGUUUGUAUUUUAUUCUGGAUUGUCACUGUCAUAAUAAAUAAAGUCCAGAAUAGCAUUGGUGUUGUUUUAUCUUAGCAUGUACUCCCUCCGCUCCUAAAUAUAACUCAUUUUAGAGAUUUCAAUAAGGACUACAUACGAAUGUAUAUAGACAAGCAAACACUUUUUCGUAGAUUAGUUGCUUAGUUUCAUAUGUUGAACUGCGUUGUUGAGUGCAGUGCGUAGGCUCUUUAUAAAUUGCUAAGUAGGCGAUCAACGCGGCACAUGUGGGGGCUGUGAGAGCUGUGAAUGGCAUCGGUCUUGUCAUACUUAUGAGCAGGAGCACGGGCCACAUUACUCCCCUCUGAGCAGCCGAGAUGUUGACUGCUGCUUGAAUCCUGAGAUUGAUUUCCACGUUGUAAUGGAAGGAAGGCCUGUUUGAGUUCCUGUAUGAAAGGAUAAAGAAGAAGGGGCAUGCUGUCAUGGUAGUUGCUGAAGGCGUUGGUCAGGAGUUGAUUACCCGGACCGAUGACCAGAACCGAGAGCGAGCAGGAUGAGUAUGUCAACAUGUUGUUCCUUGACGUUGACCUUCUAUAAAGUUUACAUGCAACUCUCCUUCAUGGUUAAAAAACCAAUUUAAACGUUUUAUUUCUUUGAUGGUUACUCAUUUCUCUUACCGUUGUUGUAUCAAAACAAUUGUAUUUUUGUUGAUGGCCGCUUGGGCUCAUUUUCUAGGAGAAUGAGAUGUGGGAUAAACUACUCUGAAAUGCUUGAUACCCUUCAAACAAUUUAUAAGCUAACUAAUUUUGGCUGAUGCUGCACAUGAUACAAUUGUACUCUGUUGUUGCCAUCUUGCCUUUUAUGUGAGCUUAAACUCACAAUCAAUUAAAAUUUUACUAAGUUCA